rnacentral:lncRNA from 1 species
CAGGGUCAGACGUCAAAGAAUCUACUGCGCCAGCCGCUCCAAUGUCGAUACUCUUCACAUUCCCUUCUUCCGUGGACAAUGCUACGCUGAUAUCAUUUUCGGAAUUCGCUACUUCUUUUCUCGGUUCAUCUCCACUAUCAGAAGUUGCUGUGGUGUUUCCUGGCUGAAGCGUGUCAACUGAAACAUCACUGUUAGCUGCUGCAUUUACAGAAGUCGGUGGAGGAUCAACAGCCUCCUCACCAAUAUCCACAUGAGAUGAAGCUCCUCCUACAGCCACAUCAGACCGAGCUUCUGCCUCAUCACUGACACCACUAGUGUCAGAGGUUGCUGUGGUGUUUCCUGGCUGAAGCGUGUCAACUGAAACAUCACUGUUAGCUGCUGCAUUUACAGAAGUCGGUGGAGGAUCAACAGCCUCCUCACCAAUAUCCACAUGAGAUGAAGCUCCUCCUACAGCCACAUCAGACCGAGCUUCUGCCUCAUCACUGACACCACUAGUGUCAGAGGUUGCUGUGGUGUUUCCUGGCUGAAGCGUGUCAACUGAAACAUCACUGUUAGCUGCUGCAUUUACAGAAGUCGGUGGAGGAUCAACAACCUCCUCACCAAUAUCCACAUGAGAUGAAGCUCCUCCUACAGCCACAUCAGACGGAGCUUCUGCCUCGUCACUGACACCACUGGUGUCAGAAGUUGCUGUGGUGUUUCCUGGCUGAAGCGUGUCAACUGAAACAUCACUGUUAGCUGCUGCACUUACAGAAGUCAGUGGAGGAUCAACAGCCUCCUCACCAAUAUUCACAUGAGAUGAAGCUCCUCCUACAGCCACAUCAGACGGAGCUUCUGCCUCGUCACUGACACCACCAGUGUCAG